CAGACCCCUCACAGGUCCUCAACUGGCAGCUUCAUUAAAUAGCAGCCACAACACACCAGUAUCAACAAGGAAGGGGUGAAAAUCUGCCGUUUCCAGGAGAACAUUGAGGGAAACAUCAGACAUGUUUCAUCAGACAUGUCAUAACAGGAUGCACCAGGGAUGGAUCCAGCUGAUUACUGGCAAUUUGAAAGAGGCCUGCAGAGGACUUUAUCUGCUAUGUGUCACUGUCACUUCUGGUUCAGUGUGAUAGUGAAACAUAGCAGAUAGCUUUAGACUGUUCAUGGUUGCCACAUAUAAAAGAAGACCUACAGUGGGGAGAACAAGUAUUUGAUACACUGCCAAUUUUGCAGGUUUUCUCACUUACAAAGCAUGUAGAAGUCUGUAAUUUUAAAUAGGUACUCUUCAACUGUGAGUGACGGUAUCUAUGAAAAAAAAUCCAGAAAAUGACAUUGUAUGAUUUUUUAAGUAAUUAAUUUGCAUUUUAUUGCAUGACAUUAGUAUUUGAUACAUCAGAAAAGUAGAAUUGAAUAUUUGGUACAGAAACCUUUGUUUGCAAUUACAGAGAUCAUACGUUUCCUGUAGUUCUUGACCAGGUUUGCACACACUGCAGCAGGGAUUUUGGCCCACUCCUCCAUACAGACCUUUUCCAGAUCCUUCAGGUUACGGGGCUGUCGCUGGGCAAUACGGACUCAGCUCCCUAUUGGGUUCAGGCCUGGAGACUGGCUAGGCCACUCCAGGACCUUGAGAUGCUUCUUACGGAGCCACUCCUUAGUUGCCCUGGCUGUGUGUUUCGGGUCGUUGUCAUGCUGGAAGACCCAGCCACGACCCAUCUUCAAUGCUCUUACUGGGGGAAGGAGGUUGUUGGCCAAGAUCUCGUGAUACAUGGCCCCAUCCAUCCUCCCCUCAGUACGGUGCUGUCGUCCUGUCCCCUUUGCAGAAAAGCAUCCCCAAAGAAUGAUGUUUCCACCUCCAUGCUUCAUCGUUGGGAUGGUGUUCUUGGGGUUGUACUUAUCCUUCUUCUUCCUCCAAACACGGUGAGAGGAAUUUCAACCAAAAAGCUCUAUUUUUGUCUCUUCGGACAACAUGACCUUCUCCCAUUCCUCAUCUAGAUCAUCCAGAUGGUCAUUGGCACACUUCAGACGGGCCUGGACAUGCGCUGGCUUGAGCAGGGGGACCUUGAGUGCGCUGCAGGAUUUUAAUCCAUGACAGCGUAGUGUGUUACUUAUGGUUUUCUUUGAGACUGUGGUCCCAGCUCUCUUCAGGUCAUUGACCAGAUCAUGCCGUGUAGUUCUUGGCUGAUCCCUCACCUUCCUCAUGAUCAUUGAUGCCCCACCAGGUGAGAUCUUGCAUGGAGCCCCAGACCUAGGGAGAUUGACAAUCAUCUUGAACUUCUUCCAUUUUCUAAUAAUUGCGCCAACAGUUGUUGCCUUCUCACAAAGCUGCUUGCCUAUUGUCGGAAUUCUUACUGGUUGGUAGGUGAUCAAAUACUUAUGUCAUGCAAUAAAAUGCACAUUUAUUAUUUAAAAAUCAUAAAAUGUGAUUUUCUGGAUUUUUUUCUCUCACAGUUGAAGUGUACCUAUGAUACGAAUUACAGACCUCUACAUGCUUUGUAAGUAGGAAAACCUGCAAAAUCGGUAUGCCCUGUUCUUAGAAUCGAUUAGGGCCACAACCAAGGCGCCUUAUCAAUGACCCUGUUCAGUUGACACCAAGGAAAAUCUGCCUGUGUCUACACUGUAUUCUUCCUUUCGUGUAGGGGUAGUUCAGAUCAGGAGGUCUGGUAACUAUGACCUAGAACUGUGGUUGCCAUGGCAGUAUAGGGUUCUGUCUUGUUUUCCUAUUUAUUAUGACGACUUGUUUUGUAUGUAUCUUAUAGCAUUAGAGAUAAUAUUUUUGGGGCUGACAGGAGGAGUAUAAAGAGCUAGAAGCCAUAAUAUGUAAUCAGAACAAUUGUUAUGACACUACUCUGUUGGUCUCUAUACUUAUACUCUGUUUUGUGGAAGCAAUUGUUCCCGUGGAUCCACGGGAUCCAAUAAUCAACCGUUAUACCAGACUCUGAGAAGUUUUUACUUGUAUAAAUCGCGAAAAUUUUCCACAUAACCUAAAUUUAAAGAGACGUUUAAAUAUAGCUAUAGUUCAUAUAUUUUGACAUACAAUGCUUAGAUUUCCAUUGUCCAAUAAAUGUUUUAACAUUACCAUUCUCUAAAAUGACUAACUAAUACUGUAAAUGUGCAGAAAUUCCUUUUUAAUUAAAAGUACAUACACUCACCUAAAGGAUUAUUAAUUAAUUUCUCAUUAAUGCAAUUAUCUAAUCAACCAAUCACAUGGCAGUUGCUUCAAUGCAUUUAGGGGUGUGGUCCUG
ensembl:lncRNA